rnacentral:rRNA from 1 species
AGUGUUUGAUGAUGGCUCAGAACGAACGUUGGCGGCGUGCUUAACACAUGCAAGUCGAACGAGAAAGAGAUCUUCGGAUCUUGAGUAAAGUGGCGCACGGGUGAGUAACGCGUAGAUAACCUGUCCAGGUGUUUGGGAUAGCCCUUCGAAAGGGGGAUUAAUACCGAAUACGUUGAUUAUGCAUAGGUAUAAUCAAGAAAGGUGGCCUCUAUUUAUAAGCUAUCGCAUUUGGAGGGGUCUGCGUACCAUUAGCUAGUUGGUGGGGUAAUGGCCUACCAAGGCUUCGAUGGUUAGCGGGUCUGAGAGGAUGAUCCGUCACACUGGCACUGAAACACGGGCCAGACUCCUACGGGAGGGAGCAGUGAGGAAUAUUGCGCAAUGGGGGAAACCCUGACGCAGCGACGCCGCGUGAGUGAGGAAGGCCUUCGGGUCGUAAAGCUCUGUCAGAAGGGAAGAAAUGUGUAUAUGUUAAUAGCCUAUGCACUUGACGGUACCUUCAAAGGAAGCACCGGCUAACUCCGUGCCAGCAGCCGCGGUAAUACGGAGGGU